rnacentral:rRNA from 1 species
UUGUCGUCAGCUCGUGUCGUGAGAUGUUGGGUUAAGUACCGCAACGAGCGCAACCCUUGAUCUUAGUUGCCAGCAUUCAGUUGGGCACUCUAAGGUGACUGCCGGUGACAAACCGGAGGAAGGUGGGGAUGACGUCAAAUCAUCAUGCCCCUUAUGACCUGGGCUACACACGUGCUACAAUGGACAGAACAAAGGGCAGCGAAACCGCGAGGUUAAGCCAAUCCCACAAAUCUGUUCUCAGUUCGGAUCGCAGUCUGCAACUCGACUGCGUGAAGCUGGAAUCGCUAG